GAUGAACGCUGGCGGCGUGCCUAACACAUGCAAGUUGAGCGAUCUUCUUCGGAAGAGAGCGGCGGACGGGUGAGUAACGCGUGGGGAACCUACCCUGUACACACGGAUAACAUACCGAAAGGUAUGCUAAUACGGGAUAAUAUAUUUCAUUCGCAUGUUUGAAAUAUCAAAGCUCCGGCGGUACAGGAUGGACCCGCGUCUGAUUAGCUAGUUGGUGAGGUAACGGCUCACCAAGGCGACGAUCAGUAGCCGACCUGAGAGGGUGAUCGGCCACAUUGGAACUGAGACACGGUCCAAACUCCUACGGGAGGCAGCAGUGGGGAAUAUUGCACAAUGGGCGAAAGCCUGAUGCAGCAACGCCGCGUGAACGAUGAAGGCUCUAUGGGUCGUAAACUUCUUUUAUAUAAGAAUAAAGUGCAGUAUGUAUACUGUUUUGUAUGUAUUAUAUG
rnacentral:rRNA from 1 species